UUGCGUCAUGUUAAAAGCAUUGGUUAGAUAGGCGUAUUAUUGACAGUUUCCAUUCUGUAUCUAUUCUGUGGCUGUGUCCUUCUUGUAUCUUGUCCAGAAUCACCCCUCCUCAGCCUCAAUACAAUCACAUAAUCACAUUGCAGUUUUGAUUAGCUGUUUCAUCUUUCCUUGGUUUGUGAAAAGAAAAGAAAUCUAAAACAAAUAUCAUGGAAUCUAUUGUGAAGUCCGAGGGAAUCAGAAGAAUGGCUAGAAGACAUGGCAUCUGUUACUGUUAAAGAAGAAAUCGACAUAGAAUAUGGCAUGCCCUGGCUUGGCAAGCAGGAGUUUCCGGAUGAGGAACAGGCUACUGAUCAUUGAAUCAACAUACAAAAAUAUCAAAAGUAGCACCACAAGUUUCAAGAAUAAAUAACAUUGAAUCAAUGCUAGUUUUCAAUUACUUUGAAAACAUAAACUAGCAUUAAUUCAGAUGAAUCUGUGACUCAGAACGACGAUUUAGAUCCAAGGGCUUAUUUCAGUCCUGGGGGACUCUGUAAGUCCAGAACUUAUAAGUUAGAUCCUGAGCUUGAAAACCGGCCCUUAGAGUACUUAUAAUCAUUUUUUAUUUUGUUUCAAUCUCUUACAUAUUUGUCUCGCAAGUUAAUAAAUGAAAACAACAAUAACUGUUCAAGGUGUUAUUAUUUCAAUCUUAGCUUCAAAAACUUGAUGGAAUUAAUUUUUAAUUUACUGAAAGGAGCAAGAAGUGAAUUGAAUUGUGCAGUGACUGAUUAUUUUUGGUUGUGAAAAUUAAAUGUUAGGUAUUAAAGUUUGCAGAACCAGUGGUUUGGGUUAUGGGUGAUGUGGAAUGAGGUAUGGACAUAGCCUAUCUGUAUCAAUCAUCCUUGCUUGGAUUUGGCACAGUAUCUCAUUAGAGUGUAGAACUGAGUAUCGAGUUAUAUUUCAAUUUUAUUAGCUUUCAAUGGAAACAUUUUGCAAUAGCUCUGAAAUAUCAGUUUCGCAUGUAAGAAGUCAUUCAAUAUCACUGGAUUACAUUUUUCAUUUUUAAAAGAUAGAAAAAUCCUUUAUCAAAAUCUUCUUAAAUAUUUGCAUUACCCAUCUUAUUUUUGCUCAUUUAAUAAGUUUUACUGUUUCUUAUCACUUAUUAUUUUAAUCCCCCAGCCCCAAAUCAAUUGAAAUAUGAUAGACGUUUUCUUGAGCAGACUGUGACAAGGAAUGCAAAGACCAACAAUUCAUCACUUUAGAGUUGGGGUUUUCACAUCAAUUUCAAAUAGCAACCAACUAAAUAAUACAAGAGUUCAU